rnacentral:lncRNA from 1 species
UCCUGCGACCUAAUAUUUAAAUACUCAUCUCGUAUCGAUCUGGGUCGUCCGUUCAGGGACACAAGGAGCAAGAAAGACCGUUUGAUGAUUUUCUGUUUAGGUUGAUUGCAUGGACGAAUUUAGACCGUCCAUCGUGAUCAAUCUCGUUCGUCCGAUUGCCUCUAAAGAGGGAAUGCAUCUAGGCCAUUCGCGUGUGUGGGAUACGAUUUGGGUCAUUGGAUUGUCU